rnacentral:rRNA from 1 species
GACGAACGCUGGCGGCGUGCUUAACACAUGCAAGUCGAACGGAAAGGCCUGCUUUCCCUUGUGGAUUGCGGGUACUCGAGUGGCGAACGGGUGAGUAACACGUGAGUGAUCUGCCCCCAACUUGGGUAUAAGCCUGGGAAACUGGGUCUAAUUCCCGAUAGGACUGCAGGGUGGUGCCUGUGGUGGAAAACGAUUUUCUAGUGGUUGGGGAUGAGCUCGCGGCCUAUCAGCUUGUUGGUGGGGUAAUGGCCCACCAAGGCGGCGACGGGUAGCCGGCCUGAGAGGGUGGACGGCCACAUUGGGACUGAGAUACGGCCCAGACGCCUACGGGAGGCAGCAGUGGGGAAUAUUGCACAAUGGGCGGAAGCCUGAUGCAGCGACGCCGCGUGGGGGAUGACGGCCUUCGGGUUGUAAACUCCUUUCGACCGCGAGGAAGCCACCUGGUUGGAAGGGUGGUGACGGUAGUGGUAGAAGAAGCACCGGCUAACUACGUG